UUUAUAAAUUUACUUUCAAAUCCACCUUCAAUUAAUUUUUCAUAUUAAUAUUCAUAUAAAUACUUUUAAUGUAACUCAUCUCUUCUUAAAUAUAAGCUACACCUUGAUCUGAAAUAAAAUUAUUUAUAAAUUUAAGAAAAUUAUUAUUCUUUUAAAAUAUUCUGAUAACGACGGUAUAUAAACUGAUUACAAAUUUAAGUAAGGUCCAACGUGGAUUAUCAAUUAUAGGACAAGUUCCUCUGAAUAGACUAAAAUACCGCCAAAUUUUUUAAGUUUCAAGAACAUAACUAUUAC
rnacentral:rRNA from 1 species